CACGGGGGGAGCAAGCGUUGUUCGGAAUUACUGGGCGUAAAGGGCGUGUAGGCGGUCAAGUAAGUGGAAUGUGAAACGCCUCGGCUUACCCGAGGACCUGCAUCCCAAACUGCUUGGCUUGAGUAUGGGAGAGGAUGAGGGAAUUCCUGGUGUAGCGGUGAAAUGCGCAGAUAUCAGGAGGAACACCGGUGGCGAAGGCGGGUCUCUGGGCCGAUACUGACGCUGAGGAGCGAAAGCGUGGGGAGCGAACAGG
rnacentral:rRNA from 1 species